rnacentral:rRNA from 1 species
GUAGUCCACGCCCUAAACGAUGUCUACUAGUUGUCGGGUUUUAAUUAACUUGGUAACGCAGCUAACGCGUGAAGUAGACCGCCUGGGGAGUACGGUCGCAAGAUUAAAACUCAAAGGAAUUGACGGGGACCCGCACAAGCGGUGGAUGAUGUGGAUUAAUUCGAUGCAACGCGAAAAACCUUACCUACCCUUGACAUGUCAGGAAGUCCGGAGAGAUCUGGAUGUGCCCGAAAGGGAACCUGAACACAGGUGCUGCAUGGCUGUCGUCAGCUCGUGUCGUGAGAUGUUGGGUUAAGUCCCGCAACGAGCGCAACCCUUGUCAUUAGUUGCUACGCAAGAGCACUCUAAUGAGACUGCCGGUGACAAACCGGAG